CUAUUCAGAUUAUGAUUUGUGUUUCUAUUGUCAUGUCUGAGUAAUCACCUUGUUGGGUCUAGAGAAUCUCAAUAGGGAUUUAGAUGUAUUAGUAGAUCGAAAACCCCUUAGGAUUAUUCUUAGAGUUCUUCAUCUUGAUAAUUCUUAAUGCUAGUUUUAGAUUGAUCACCUAGAACUUGAUAUUGGAUAAUGGGUAUUCCCGCUAUAUGUAUUUGUUAUUUGAACCAUCAUAGAUGAGCCUAGGCAUUUAAGAAAGAACAUGUAGGCUCAUAGAAGGGCUUUGGUUUAGAUACUAGGUGAACUAAUCAAGCUUAUUAACAAUGCAUGCUUUAGCAUAGGAUUUCUCGGCUUCUCCGGUUAUCUUAGUUGUAAGUAUAGAGAGUUUCGCGGAACGCCACCGGUUACUCUAGAAUUAUAGUUUUAGUUUGAGAACGGUGCGAUAACAAUCCUGAUAUUAGCUAGAUCUACAAUUUAUCUAUGUCCCGAGACAAUUCCUUAGACGUGACGCUUUAAUCACUUGAAUCUACAACUCAUUUACUUGCUUAU
rnacentral:sRNA from 1 species